GUGCUUACUUUGGCAGCAUUUACACUAAAAUUGGAAUGAUACAGAGAAAAUUAGAAUGGCCCCUGUGUGAGGAAGCAAAUUUGUGAAGCAUUCCACAUUUUU
ensembl:snRNA U6 U6 spliceosomal RNA